rnacentral:rRNA from 1 species
GACGAACGCUGGCGGCGUGCUUAACACAUGCAAGUCGAGCGGUAAGGCCCUUUCGGGGGUACACGAGCGGCGAACGGGUGAGUAACACGUGGGUGACCUGCCCUCAGCUCUGGGAUAAGCCUGGGAAACUGGGUCUAAUACUGGAUAUGACUCCACGGUGCAUGUCGUGGGGUGGAAAGCCUUGUGCGGCUGAGGAUGGGCCCGCGGCCUAUCAGCUUGUUGGUGGGGUGANGGCCUACCAAGGCGACGACGGGUAGCCGGCCUGAGAGGGCGACCGGCCACACUGGGACUGAGACACGGCCCAGACUCCUACGGGAGGCAGCAGUGGGGAAUCCUGCGCAAUGGGCGAAAGCCUGACGCAGCGACGCCGCGUGAGGGAUGACGGCCU